GACGGGCAGGCCGGCGGUCGACUUGAGACCCUGGAAGGGUGCGACGGAGGUGGCCGAGGAAGCCAUCACAGUGGGGGCCAUGGUGUUGGAGGAGAGAAGGUGGCAGGCUAAGCUUGGCCCCCAUUGCUGGGUCACCACGGUAUAUAUAGCCAUAUAUGGCCAGCUCCUAUCUUUAAUCAAGAUGUGGAAGGGGUGGCUGGCGUUCGUUGGUUGCUUGGUUUCCUUAUCUCUCCGGAUUAGUGUAAGAGGCAUGGCCGUUGGAUGAGUUGUGUGUGCCCAAAAUUUCAGUCGUCCAUGUCAUUGUGUGAUUGCCACAAUCCUUUUUCCAGCCUUGCAUUACUGUAUUAUUCUUUUCGUUUCAUCUUGCUAAAGGUAACGCUUGAAAGGUGCACGAAGAACUCCCUUUGUUGAUUUGCGAUUUAAGUUCAGUGGCACAGGCAUAACGAAUGUUAUAGUACAUCCUUUAUCCACUUUUAUAAUACAAAACUUGUCAACCAGUUAUGCUUGCUUCUAAUCUUUGGUACUUCAUUUUAUAACAUUUUAUACAGGUAACUAACGUAUACUUGCUGCAUGUAUGAUGUGUGUCAUCAUGACCUUUAUGUACUUUAUUCACAAUUAUUCAUUGGAACACAAAAGUGUUGUACUAUUUUCUACACCUAAUCAUUUACAUGCCUUGGAGGAUUUUUAGUAUAGGAAAUGCUAUUUAACUGGCUGUCCAGGCAAGGUAUAACUUUGUUUUAAUCUAUGAGCUAAAGUUUUAGAUCCCUCUGUUAUCCAUUUGCUCAGUUCAUGCCGUCCCCAGUGAACUCAUAAAUUACAUAUGGUGAGUGAAUAUAGACCACAAAAAAUGGUAGAUGUAUGUUCAUUCAUUUCAUGAUGAUGAAGCAACCUGCAAAAUGAUGGAAUCGACCAUGACUACUCAGUGAUAUGGCAAUCAUGUAGGACGAUCAUCGUGAUCAUCCUCCCGAGUCGUCCCCGUGCGGCGGCUGGGAGUACCCCAGAUCCCGUCGCCCCCGACUCCCCCUCUCGUCCCCUCCUCCCUCACCGCCGCCCGAGGGCGCCGCCGGGCAAAGCCUUGCCGUCGCCGGCGGCGGCAGGGACUAGGUGCCCUCCCGCUCGUGAGGAGCUGGCGCGGACCAGCGCCCCCGGGCUGGAGCGUGGCGUGCAUCUGGAUGUCAUGACGGGGGCUGGCGGCGCUCCUGCGAUCCCAUACCUCAUGGCAGGCGGCUUCAAGAUCUGGGGCGACACGGUUGCCAGGGUCGGCGGCGGUGGCGUGGCCGGAUCUAGGACCAGGUGUGAGCUUGGUCUCCGGGUCACGAUCGGCGCGAUGGCAAGUGCGACAUGUCGGCAGCUGGACGGAUCUGCGGGAUUCCAUCCUUGUCUAGUCCUUGACAACUCGAGCAACUCCGAGGGAAACCCUAGAUCCAUGGGAUCAAGCGAUGGCAGUGCUUUUGCGUCGUAGUCCCUCUUCGGGACAUCAUUUUAGAGUUUGCUAUGGUUGAAGGGACCAGCGAGGCAUGCGGCGUACGCCCGGUGUCGCAACUACCGAUGAAAAUUACGCCAACUACGGUCAUGGCGGACGAUGGCGGCGUCUUUGAUGUCGUUUCCUUGUCGAGACAUCGUCAUUGCAGUUGGCAUCAUCAUGCUCGGGAUGCUCCGGGGGAAACCCUAGAUCUGGGUCUCCCGGAUCGGACGAUAAUAGCGUUCUUAGUAUCGCUUUCCCUCAUCGGGGCAUCGUUUUGGAGCAAGUGAUGGCUGGAGGUGAUAAGAGGAGGAGCGGUGCUUCAUCAUACACAUUGGUGGUGUCGGAUCUCGAUGGCAUGGCACCCUGGAAAUUAGGCGUUUGAUGUGCGAUGAUGGACUCGCGUAGGAGGUCGACGCUCUCUGGCGUCGUGGUGGCAUCGGCGGCAGCUAGACCGGGCAAGGUACAUGCAGUAGUACAACUCUGAAGAUGGAUUGGUGGCAGGUGGCUGCGGCGGCCUCAUACCCGGCAGGCGUCCUGGUUGAGGAGCACGCUGGACUGGUGGGUGCCCAUGCCCGGCAGGAGUCCUGGUUGGGACCUCAGGUCUUAGAUGUUAGGUUUGGCUGCGAUGUCUCUUUGGUAUUAGGCCCAGACUAUCAGCGCCCCUUCAUCAACUGGAUUGGAUUAGCGACAGAUGUUGCUUAGACGGUGGCUUUAGUCUUAUUGUUGUAUGGUUUUGUAAGGUCUUGUGCUAAUAAUUAAUAAAAUGAUUGUAUGCAUCGCCCAGAUGCAGAGGCCGGGGGUCCUUCUCCUUUUCUAAAAAUCUAGUCAUUUAAGGUAGAUGUCGUGAUCUUCUUGUGUGACUGUCUCAUAGAUUUGAGCUGCAAAUCGAAUCUUAUAUUCUUCCAUUUUUUUUGAAUUUCCUGCAUGUAGUUAAUUAUUUUUUAUGAAUCCUUAAUGAUAAUUAACAUGGCCCAGAUAUUCACAAAAUAUCCAUAACUAUCAUGAACGAAUCAAUAAAUUACUAUUGCAGAAUGAAGAAUGAACCUUCCAUAGACCCCUCCACUUGGGCCCGUCGGUAGAGAGAUUCAUCACUCAUGGGCCACAAAAUGCGAGCCAAGUAGGACGACCUUCACUAAUGGGCCCUUAAGUUGGGCAUCAAUGGAGGGGCACCCAUGGGGCCCAAAGAUCCAACUGAAUGGACAGUCCAUCUCUACUGACGGUCAUACCGGAAUUUCCUAACGGACGCACAUUGUGUCAAGUUGCCACUGUUUCGCACAGAUGCCAGCGACUGGCGACCGAGAUGGGCCGGCCCAAUUACGAGCCCACAGAUGCGCUACAGUGUCCGGUUUUGGGAAACUUCUAGGAGGUUCCUGAGCGGUUUUGGGAACCUUCUAGAAGGUUCCUGAACCAGUUUUCCCUGGUUUAUUCUGUUUCUUUUUAUUUUUCUUUCAAUAUUGUUUAUUCUUUUUCAUUCUUUAUUUUUAUUUUUUCGUUUUGCCGUUUCUAUAUUCCAUUUUUUAUUUCUUUAAUUCCUUUUCCUUCUCUUUUUUCCUUCAGAAUUAAAAAAUAAUAAAAAUGUUCAGAAGUUAAGAAAAUUUUAUUGUUUAAAAAUUUUGUUCAUAAAUUGAAAAAUGUUCUUCUUUUCAAAAAACCUUCGCAUUUUUAAAAAAUGUUUGGCAUUUAAAAAAUGUUCCGCUUUCAAAAUAUUGUUCACAAAUUACAAAUAAUGUUCACUCUUUCCAAAUUUUGUUCAGAGUUUGGACAUGUUUGCAGACGUAAAAAUGUCCACCUUUUCCAGAAAUGUUCAUAUCUUUUUUUUCAAAAUUUGUUCACAAAUUCAAAAAUUCCUGUUUUUAUAAUUUGUUCACACAUCCAAAAAUUGUUCACACCUUUUAAAAAUUCUCAAAAUUUGUUCACAAAUUCAAAAAGCUUUCCAUUUUUAUAAUUGUUCACAGAUUAAAAAAUUGUUCAAAUCUUUAAAACUUGUUCGUGAUUCUAAAAAAAUGUUCAUAUCUUAAAAGAAAUCACAAAUUCGAACAAAUUCCUGUUCUCAAAAUUAGUUCACAAAUUAAAAAUGUUAUUUUUUGAAAAUUAUUCACAAAUUCAAAAAAAGUUCGCAUUUUGUCCAAACUUGUUCGUGAUUUGUCAAAAAAUGUUCGGAAUUUAAAAAAAUGUACCCGUUCUUUCAAGAUUUGUUCACAAAUUAAAAAAUUAUUUCCCUGUUUAAAUUUGGUUCACAAUUCAAAAAAUCAUGUUUUUUAAACUUCAAUUUUUUGCACGUGUCUAACAAAAUAGGUCAGAGUUUUGAAAAUUGUUCCUUUUUAAAAAAUUGUCCAGAACUGCAAAAUUGUUCCUGUUUUUAAAAUUCGAAUAAUUGCGACCAUUUGUUGAAACUCGUGUGCAUUUUUGCCAAAAACAUUUGGACUUUUAAAAAUAUAUUCAGAAUUAACAAGAAAAGAUUUAAAAAGGAAAAAUAAUGUGACCUGCCGUUGUGACCAGUACUAGUCGUGGUGGCUAGCUAGCUUCGUAUAAAAAAGCACGAUCGCGAGCUCGAGUCCUAGCUCUCGCUUCGAGUUUUUCGUUGCCUUUUUAACACUGCACGCUGCCUGCGUGGGCCGGCCCAGUCGGGCGCCUAACCUGUGCGAUCGCUCGACAUUCUGCCGCAGAAUGCGGCAGAUAGGAAGUCCCGGUCAUACCACACCACCCGUCAAUGUUGGGCGCCCCGUUAGUGCUGAAUUAAGGUAUUUCUAUCUGCUAGAGACGAAGUGGCCUUAUAUGGGCUUUCUCUUUUCUCCUAAACAAAACCAAGCCACCUCCCCCAAUCCAUUCCUCCCCAACGUCAUCACCACCCAAUGUUUUUGUCUCCUUACAUGUGUGCCCCCUCCUUCUUCCACAUUGAUCUGGUCCAACGCUACCGUCUCAUCCCCGCGAUCAUCGUCACUACUCUUCGAUUACUCGUGAUGGCGCGGGUUGUGGCUUCCCACUUGCUCUCUCGUAAGAGUGGUUGGGUAAACCCCAAGUGUAAGGAUGAAGUAACCUAGUAAUAAGCAUUUUCCCCGAUAGGUUUAUCAAACCAGUAGGAAUUUCUUCUACAACCCAAAUCCUCGGUACCUGCACACCAAACACAAAAUAAUCUUGCCCCAAACGUUUCAAGAAGGUUGUCAAGCUUCUUGUCCUGCUAGUUACAAGGAUUAGUUGUUAGUUGAAAGCAAAUAUCAGUUGCUAAGUAGCCUUAGUGUGGUUUGUACCUUCAGAUCUGCCAUGACACUGUCAACACUAUACUCGCCAUGCUUAGGGUUCAUCCUUUUUAUAUACACCAAGAUCAACCUAGGUGCUUCGCGUCGUACUAGCACUAAUCCAACCAUCAAUAUAAAUGAAAUGCCACCAUAAUUUCAAAGCUUAGUUGUUCAAAUACGAAUAUGAUGUGGUACUAAUAUUAGUUUAAAAUAGACACAUGUAGUUGGUCAGCCAAUGUUCCUUGUUGAGUUUCAAAAUACAUGUACACCACUUAUAGAGAGGCAUGAGUGAAUACUAUUUAUUUCUGCGAUCUCGUCCAUCAUGGAUGGGCAACGAACAUUGCAUUGUAUAGAAAGAAGGGUUAUAUAUAACCACCUUUUACAUAGAUGACGCUUUGCCUACGUGCUUUGUGUUGAAGUAGCAACACUCCACCUUUCAAGCUAAACAACAUGACACUCAUAAUUUCAAAGCUUAUUUUGUCAAAUACGAAUUUGAUAUGAUACUGAUAUUAGUUAAAAUGACACACAUUAAUUGUCAGCUAAUGUUCCUACUUCAGUUUUGAAAUGCAUAUCUGCCCCUUAUAGAGAGACAAGAGAGGUUUCUAUCUCUCUAUCCGCUCUUGUCAUCAUGGUUGGGGGGUGAACUUUGUAUAUCGUAUAGUUUGAAGCUGUCAUCUACCAACAAUCAUCACUUCUGGAGAUCUCAACUAGGAGCCUUUUUUGAGUAGUAGGGCCAUAUUAUAUUAAUACACACACCAAAUUACAACUCACAUAGCAUCUCUCGGCAGACUUCCAGAGAUAGUACGCAGGGGUUUAUAAGGAGUCACUAUUGGGGUAGAAUCGGCAAUGCAUUUGUUACACCCCGAUUCAGAGAACCGGAGGUCCCCGUGUUCCAGCCCAGAUAUCCAUUCGUCUGGAACACGACUAUAGCUUGGUACAGAUAGACCAAAAUAAAUAAGUACUUAUGUACAUUAAGGAGACAUGUCUAAGUGUGAGAAGCUCGAGGGCUUUAUUCUACGAGUGGCUUAAGGAAGUACUAAAGACGAAAAUAAUACUAAUGACACAACAGAAGACGGGGUACCAGUGGGGCUCCAAUCUAAAGAGACACUGCUGGUACACGAACUCUUAGGGGAACUCUUCUAUCGGCUCUCUAGUAUCUAGCAUGAUAAGUCAGGUGAGUACUUAAUUUGAAUGUACUCGCAAGCUCACAAACAAUCCAAAGCAAGCAAGAACGGAGCAAAUAAACAUAGCAACGAAGUAAGGACUAGUAAAGCUACUACUAUCAAGACUACUCCAUAGACUUCUUGUCUGCUCGUUUAACAUCUACUGGACUUCUUCUUGAAAUGAGUCCUGCUCAAACGACUCAACAAUAUAAGUUACCUGUUACCACAGUUACUAGAGUUGAAAGUAAAGGAAUAUGGGUACUUGGUCAAAUAGUGUGACCUAACACAAAUGGUGUCCCAUUGUCGGGGACUCGGCUAUUUGAAUAGUUUCAACACACACUCUGUAGAGGUCACACACUUUAAUUUACCCACACCAUAGAUUCUUUGUCUAAUGAAUCUCAUUCAUAGCAUGGCACUCUAACUAUUCCUCCGACCUCCCGCAGGCUAGCCCUGGGAGAGAGGAUCUGGGUCCUUGCCACUCUGUGUGGCACCACUUGUAUUCGCUUAGGAAUAUUUUCUAUUGAGCUCAUCCACAGACCCAGGCUCUCUUGACUGAAUGGCAACUUCCAAGCCAGAGGAAGUCUACACAUUCCAGCUUCCCUCUUCAGAGACACACAAAAGAUACAUACCUAGAAACGGAAUAAGGCCCUCCCAUUCGGCUAGAUGUGGCUAUACUGAGGUUGUUCCGCUUUGUGGCAUUUGGAUUGGCUAGCUAUUUAAAGUUGGGUUAAGAAGGAAAGUAAAACCGUAACUUUGUACUAGCUAUUCAAAUCCACAACUUGUUAUCCUACUAGGGUGAAGUAUUCACGAGGAUUCAUCAUCCUAAGUAGAGGCUUUCCCCGAGAUCCUUUGUGAACAUUGAUACCUAUUUUGCUUAUGAUUCAUGUUGGCAAAAUAAUUACCGGUUACGAGUCAUAGUUAAACUUCUAUUCCACUAGGACCAAAUAAAGGUAUCCUUGCUAGUGACUCACUAUGCUAUUUCAACCACAACAAACUUGACAUAAGCAAAGGGAAGCAAUAAAGAACACUGAAAGAAAAGUAAUGCGGGAAAAGAAAUGCAAGUUGAAUCCAUGGCCUUGCAAUGCAAGUUGAACCUAUAGUGUUAUAGCCAUGGCUCACGCUCAUGUAUUGCAUGGGGCUGAAAAUCUUGAAGCGCGUUAGAAGUGUUAAGCUUCAUGCACUAGCCAACGCAGCCAAAAGUCUGAACUGAUGGAAAGGGCUAGUACAAUCCACAUAUACUAUAACACCCUCUCUCACGUGGGACGGGGAAGACAAGUCAACACAUGCAACCGGAAGAGAGCGACGGCACGCGAAACUCAGGUAUGACUCAAGAGGCCUAUACGUGGACACAAAGGAGGGCUGUCAGCAAUUUUUAAAUAAGUUGCACAAACCAGGACUUGAACUCAAGACCUUAACUCCAAUACCAUGUUAAGCUUCAUUGACUCACUGAAAAACCAGCGGCAGUCACCACAGAGGCAAAACGCUCAAACAAGGCGCGGGGGGCUUGCUUAAGGCCAUAGAGAGAGCGACGAAGACGAGAUACCAUGCCAUCAGGAACAGAAUACCCAGGUGGUGGCUGCAUGUAUACCUCCAUUUGCCUGGUUUGACACCGGGGUGCUCAUGAUUUAUAUAUAUGCAAUGAAGGCGGAGUCAUGCCAUGCUAACAUGAUAAAAUGAGUGGGGAUAACAUUCGUUAAUGAUCGUAUAUUUUGAAAAAGUAAUGAUUAUGUUUCUUAUAUUCAUGGAAAUUAUUAUGUUGAUAUUGUUACUUCAUUGUUUCUCAAUAACUAUAUCAUAAAGAUAUUACAUGAUACAUAUGUUUGUUGGGGAACGUAGUAAUUUCAAAAAAAUUCCUACGCACACGCAAGAUCAUAGUGAUGCAUAGCAACAAAAGGGGAGAGUGUUGUCUAUGUACCCUCGUAGACCGAAAGCGGAAACGUUAGAACAACGCGGUUGAUGUAGUCGUACGUCUUCACGGCCCGACCAAUCAAGCACCGAAACUACGACACCUCCGAGUUCUAGCACACGUUCAGCUCGAUGACGUCCUUCGAACUCCGAUCCAGCCGAGUGUCGAGGGAGAGUUCCGUCAGCACUACGGCAUGGUGACGAUCUUGAUUUUCUACCGUUGCAAGGCUUCUCCUAAGCACCGCUACAAUAUUAUCAAGGAGGACUAUGGUGGAGGGGGGCACCGCACACGGCUAAGAGAUCAAGAGAUCAAUUGUUGUGUCUAGAGGUGCCCCCCUGCACCCGUAUAUAAAGGAUCAAGGGGAAGGGGGCGGCCGGCCAGGAGGAGGUGCGCCAAGGGGGGAGUCCUACUCCCACCGGGAGUAGGACUCCUCCUUCCCUUGUUGGAGUAGGAGAGAAGGAAAGAGGGGGAGAGGAGGAAGGAAAAGAGGGCUGCACCCCUUGUCCAAUUCGGACCAGAGUGGGGCUGUGCGCCUCCUUCCUUUCGGCCUCUCUCCUCUAUUCCCGUAUGGCCCAAUAAGGCCCAUAUACUCCCCGGCGAAUUCCCGUAACUCUCCGGUACUGUGAAAAAUACCCGAAUCACUCGGAACCUUUCCGAAGUCCGAAUAUGGUCGUACAAUAUAUCGAUCUUUACGUCUCAACCAUUUCGAGACUCCUCGUCAUGUCCCCGAUCUCAUCCGGGACUCCGAACUCCUUUGGUACAUCAAAACUCAUAAACUCAUUAUAUAACUGUCAUCGAAACUUUAAGCGUGCGGACCCUAUGGGUUCGAGAACUAUGUAGACAUGACCGAGACACGUUUCCGGUCAAUAAACAAUAGCGGAACCUAGAUGCUCAUAUUGGCUCCUACAUAUUCUACGAAGAUCUUUUAUUGGUCAAACCACAUAACAACAUACGUUGUUCCCUUUAUCAUCGGUAUGUUACUUUCCCGAGAUUUGAUCGUCGGUAUCCAAUACCUAGUUCAAUCUCGUUACCGGCAAGUCUCUUUACUCGUUCCGUAAUGCAUCAUUCCGUAACUAACUCAUUAGCUACAUUGCUUGCAAGGCUUAUAGUAAUGUGCAUUACUAAGAGGGCCCAGAGAUACCUCUUCGACAAUCGGAGUGACAAAACCUAAUCUCGAAAUACGCCAACUCAACAUGUACCUUUGGAGAUAGCUGUAGAGCUCCUUUAUAAUCACCCAGUUACGUUGUGACGUUUGGUAGCACACAAAGUGUUCCUCCGAUAAACGGGAGUUGCAUAAUCUCAUAGUUAUAGGAACAUGUAUAAGUCAUGAAGAAAGCAGUAGCAACAUACUAAAUGAUCAAGUGCUAAGCUAACGGAAUGGGUCAUGUUAAUCACAUCAUUAUCCUAAUUAUGUGAUCCCGUUAAUCAAAUGACAACUCAUGUCUAUGGUUAGGAAACAUAACCAUCUUUGAUUAAUGAGCUAGUCAAGUAGAGGCAUACUAGUGACAUUAAGUUUUGUCUAUGUACUCACACAUGUAUCAUGUUUCCGGCUAAUACAAUUCUAGCAUGAAUAAUAAAAAUUCAUCAUGAUAUAAGGAAAUAAAUAAUAACUUUAUUAUUGCCUCUAGGGCAUAUUUCCUUCAGUCUCCCACUUGCACUAGAAUCAAUAAUCUAGUUCACAUCGCCAUGUGAUUUAACACCAAUAUUCACAUCUGUAUGUGAUUAAUACCCAAUAGUUCACAUUGUCAUGUGAUCAACACCCAAAGGGUUUACUAGAGUCAAUAAUCUAGUUCACAAAUCUAUGUGAUUAACACCCAAAGAGUACUAAGGUAUGAUCAUGUUUUGCUUGUGAGAGAAGUUUAGUCAAUGGGUCUGUCACAUUCAGAGCCGUAUGCAUUUUGCAAAAAUUCUAUGUCUACAAUGCUCUGCACGGAGCUACUUUAGAUAAUUGCUCCCACUUUUAAUAUGUAUCCAGAUUAAGACUUAGAGUCAUCUGGAUCAAUGCCAAAACUUGUAUUGACGUAACCCUUUACGACGAACCUUUUUUCACCUCCACAAUCGAGAAACAUAUCCUUAUUCCACUAAGGAUAAAUUUGACCAAUGUCCAGUGAUCUACUCCUAGAUCACUAUUGUACUCCCUUGCCAAACCAGGACAGAGUAUACAAUAGGUCUGGUCCAUAGCAUGACAUACUUUUAUAGAACCUAUGACUGAUGCAUAGGGAAUGACUUUCAUUCACUUUCUAUUUUCUGCCGUGGUCCGGAUUUGAGUCUUACUCAAUUUCUUACCUUUGCAACAUAGGCUAGAACUCUUUCUUUGACUGUUCCACUUUGAACUAUUUCAAAAUCUUGUCAAGGUAUGUACUCAUUGAAAAUAUUAUCAAGCGUCUUGAUCUAUCUCAAUAGAUCUUGAUGCUCAAUAUGUAAGUAGCUUUACUGAGGUCUUUCUUUUAAAGAACUCCUUUCAAACACUUCUUUAUGCUUUCCAGAAUUUUUUUAUAUCAUUUCUGAUCAACAAUAUGUCACUCACAUAUACUUAUCAGAAAGGCUGUAGUGCUCCCACUCAUUUUAUUGUAAAUGCAUGCUUCACUGCAAGUCCAUAUAAAACUAUAUGCUUUGAUCAAAGCGUAUAUUCCAACUCCGAGAUGCUUGCACCAGUCCAUAGUUGGAUCGCUAGAGCUUGCACAAUUUGUUAGCACCUUUAGGAUUGACAAAACCUUCUGAUUGCAUCAUAUACAACUCUUCUUUAAUAAAUCCAUUAAAGAAUGCAGUUUUGACAUCCAUUUGCCAGAUUUCAUAAAAUGUGGCAAUUGCUAAUAUGAUUCGGACAGACUUAAGCAUCGAUACGAGUGAGAAAAUCUCAUCGUAUUCAACACCUUAAACUUGUCAAAAAACUUUUGCGACAAGUCGAGCUUUGUAGAUAGUAACACUACUAUCAGCGUCUGUCUUCCUCUUGAAGAUCCAUUUAUCUUCCAUGGCUUGCCGAUCAUCGGGCAAGUCCACCAAAGUCCACACUUUGUUCUCAUACAUGGAUCUCAUCUCAGAUUUUAUGGUCUCAACCCAUUUUGCGGAAUCUGGGAUCAUCAUCGCUUCCUCAUAGUUUGUAGGUUCAUCAUGGUAUAGUAACAUGACCUCCAUAAUAGGAUUACCGUACCACUCCGGUGCGGAUCUUACUCUGGAAGACCUACGAGGUUCUGUAGUAACUUAAUCUGAAGUUUCAUGAUCAUCAUCAUUAGCUUCCUCACUAACUGGUGUAGGAAUCACUGGAACUGAUUUCUGUGAUGAACUACUUUCCAAUUCGGGAGAAGGUACAAUUACCUUAUCAAGCUCUACUUUCCUCCCACUCACUUCUUUCGAGAGAAACCCCUUCUCUAGAAAGGAUCCAUCUUAGCAACGAAUAUUUUGCCUUCGGAUCUGUGAUAGAAGGUGUACCCAACAAUUUCCUUUGGGUAUUCUAUGAAGACGCACUUCUCUGAUUUGGGUUCGAGCUUAUCAGGUUGAAAUUUUUUCUCAUAAGCAUCGCAGCCCCAAACUUUAAGAAACGACAGCUUAGGUUUAUUGCUAAACCAUAGUUCAUACGGUGUCGUCUCAACGGAUUUAGAUGGUGCCCUAUUUUAACGUGAAUGCAGCUGUCUCUAAUGCAUAGCCCCAAAACAAUAUUGGUAAAUCGGUAAGAGACAUCAUAGAUCGCACCAUAUCCAAUAAAGUGCGGUUACGACGUUCGAACGCACCACUACGAUGUGGUGUUCCAGGUGGCAUGAAUUGUGAGACUAUUCCACAUUGUUUUUAUACGAAAGCCAAACUCGUAACUCAAAUAUUCUCCUCCACGAUCAGAUCGUAGAAACUUUAUUUUCUUGUUACGAUGAUUCUCCACAUCACUCUGAAAUUCUUUGAACUUUUCAAAUGUUUCAGACUUGUGUUUUAUUAAGUAGAUAUACUCAUAUCUUGCUCAAAUCAUCUUGUGAAGGUCUGAAAAUAACGAUACCCGCCACGAGCAUCAAUACUCAUUGGACCGCAUACAUCAGCAUGUAUUAUUUCCAAUAAGUCACUAGCUCGUUCCAUUGUUCCGGAGAACGGAGUUUUAGUCAUCUUGCCCAAAAGGCACGGUUCGCAAGCAUCAAAUGAUUCAUAACCAAGUGAUUCCAAAAAUCCAUCUUUAUGGAGUUUCUUCAUGCGCUUUACACCGAUAUGACCCAAACGGUAGUGCCACCAAUAAGUUGCACUAUCACUAUAAACUUUGCAUCUUUUUGGCAUCAAUAUUAUGAAUAUGUGUAUCACUACGAUCGAGAUCCAAUAAACUAUUUUCAUUGGGUGUAUGACCAUCGAAGGUUUUAUUCAUGUAAAUAGAACAACAAUUAUUCUCUGACUUUAAAUGAAUAACCAUAUUGCAAUAAACAUGAUCAAAUCAUAUUUAUGCUCAACGCAAAAGCCAAAUAACAUUUAUUUAGGUUUAACACUAAUCCCAAAAGUAUAGGGAGUGUGCGAUGAUGAUCAUAUCAAUCUUGGAACUACUUCCAACACUGAUCGUCACUUCACCCUCAACUAGUCUCUGUUUAUUCUGUAACUCUUGUUUCGAGUUACUAAUUUUUUAGCAACCGAACAAGUAUCAAAUACUCAGGGGCUACUAUAAACACUAGUAAGGUACACAUCAAUAACCCGUAUAUCAAAUAUACCCUUGUUCACUUUGCCAUCCUUCUUAUCCACCAAAUAUUCAGGGCAUUUGCGAUUCCAGUGACCAUUUCCUUUGCAGUGUAAGAACUCAGUUUCAGGCUUUGGUCCAGCCUUGGGCUUCUUCACGGGAGUGACAACUUGCUUGUCAUUCUACUUGAAGUUCCCUUUCUUUCCCUUUGCCCUUUCUUUGAAACUAGUGGUCUUGUUAAUCAUCAACACUUGAUGCUCUUUCUUGAUUUCUACCUUCGUCGAUUUCAGCAUCACGAAGAACUCGGGAAUCGUUUUCAUCAUCCCUUGCAUUAUAGUUCAUCACGAAGUUCCAGUAACUUGGUGAUGGUGACUAGAGAACUCUGCCAAUCACUAUCUUAUCUGGAAGAUUAACUCCCACUUGAUUCAAGCGAUUGUAGUACUCAGACAAUCUCAGUACUUGCUCACUAUUUGAGUAAUUCUCCUCCAUCUUUUAGGCGAAGUAUUUGUCAAAGGUCUCAUACCUCUUGACACGGGCAUGAGUCUGAAAUACCAAUUUCAUCUCUUGAAACAUAUUAUAUGUUCCAUGAUGUUUCAAAAACGUUUUUGUAGUCCCGGUUCUAAGACAUAAAGCAUGGUGCACAAAACUAUCAAGUAGUCAUCAUAUUGAGCUAGGCAAACGUUCAUAACGUCUGAAUCUGCUCCUGCAAUAGGUCUGUCACCUAGCGGUGCAUAAAGGACAUAAUUCUUCUGUGCAGCAAUGAGGAUAAACCUCAGAUCACGGACCAAGUCCGCAUCAUUGCUACUAACAUCUUUCAACUUAGUUUUCUCCAGGAACACAUAUAAAACAUAGGGAAGCAACAACGCGAGCUAUUGAUCUACAACAUAAUUUGCAAAAUACUACCAGGACUAAGUUCAUGAUAAAUUAAAGUUCAAUUAAUCAUAUUACUUAAGAACUCCCACUUAGACAGACAUCUCUCUAGUCAUCUACGUGAUCACGUAAUCCAAAUCAACUAAACCAUGUCCGAUCAUCACGUGAGAUGGAGUAGUUUUCAAUGGUGAACAUCACUAUGUUGAUCAUAUCUACUAUAUGAUUCACGUUCGACCUUUCGGUCUCCAUGUUCCGAGGCCAUAUCUGUAUAUGCUAGGCUCGUCAAGUUUAACCUGAGUAUUCCACAUGUGCAACUGUUUUGCACCCGUUGUAUUUGAACGUAGAGCCUAUCACACCCGAUCAUCACGUGGUGUCUCAGCACGAAGAACUUUCACAAUGGUGCAUACUCAGGGAGAACACUUCUUGAUAAUUAGUGAGAGAUCAUCUUAAAAUGCUACCGUCAAUCAAAGCAAGAUAAGAUGCAUAAAGGAUACACAUCACAUGAAUCAACAUAAGUGAUAUGAUAUGGCCAUCAUCAUCUUGUGUUUGUGGUCUCCAUCUCCGAAGCACCGUCGUGGUCACCAUUGUCACCGGAGCGACACCUUGAUCUCCAUCGUAGCAUCGUUGUUGUUUCGCCAUCUAUUGCUUCUACGACUAUCGCUACCGCUUAGUGAUAAAGUAAAGCAAUUACAGGGUGCUUGCAUUUCAUACAAUAAAGCGACAACCAUAUGGCUCCUGCCAGUUGCCGAUAACUCAGUUACAAAACAUGAUCAUUUCAUACAAUAAAAUAUAACAUCACGUCUUGACCAUAUCACAUCACAACAUGCCCUGCAAAAACAAGUUAGACGUCCUCUACUUUGUAGUUGCAAAUUUUACGUGGCUGCUACAGGCUAAGCAAGAACCGUUCUUACCUACGCAUAAAAACCACAACGAUAGUUCGUCAAGUUAGUGCUGUUUUAACCUUCACAAGGACCGGGCGUAGCCACACUCGGUUCAACUAAAGUUGGAGAAACUGACACCCGCCAGCCACCUGUAUGCAAAGCACGUCGGUAAAACCAGUCUCGCGUAAGUGUACGUGUAAUUUCGGUCCAGGCCGCUUCAUCCAACAAUAUCGCCGAACCAAAGUAUGACUUGCUGGUAAGCAGUAUGACUUGUAUCGCCCACAACUCACUUGUGUUCUACUCGCGCAUAUAACAUUUACGCAUAAAACCUGGCUCGGAUGCCACUAUUGGGGAACGUAGUAAUUUCAAAAAAUUUCCUACGCAUACGCAAGAUCAUGGUGAUGCGUAUCAACAAGAGGGGAGAGUGUUGUCUACGUACCCUCAUAGACCGAAAGCGGAAGCGUUAGAACAAUUUGGUUGAUGUAGUCGUACGUCUUCACGGCCCGAUCAAUCAAGCACCAAAACUACGGCACCUCCGAGUUCUAGCAUACGUUCAGCUCGAUGACAUCCUUCAAACUUCGAUCCAGCCAAGUGUCGAGGGAGAAUUCCGUUAGCACGACGGCGUGGUGACGAUCUUGAUGUUCUACCGUCGCAGGGCUUCUCCUAAGCACCGCUACAAUAUUAUCGAGGAGGACUAUGAUGGAGGGGGGGGGCACCGCACACGACUAAGAGAUCAAGAGAUCAAUUGUUGUGUCUAGAGGUGCCCCCUGCCCCCGUAUAUAAAGGAUCAAGGGGGAGGAGGCGGCCGGCCAGGAGGAGGCGCGCCAAGGGGGGAGUCCUACUCCCACCGGGAGUAGGACUCCUCCUUCCCUUGUUGGCGUAGGAGAGAAGGGAAGAGGGGGAGAGGAGGAAGGAAAAGGGGGCUGCACCCCUUGUCCAAUUCGGACCAGAGGGGGGCUGCGCGCCUCCUUCCUUUCGGCCUCUCUCCUCUAUUCCCGUAUGGCCCAGUAAGGCCCAUAUACUCCCACACGAAUUCACGUAACUCUCCGGUACUCCGAAAAAUACCCGAAUCACUCGGAACCUUUCUGAAGUCCGAAUAUAGUCAUCCAAUAUAUCGAUCUUUACGUGUCGACCAUUUCGAGACUCCUCGUCAUGUCCCCGAUCUCAUCUGGGACUCCGAACUCCUUCGGUACAUCAAAACUCAUAAACUCAUAAUAUAACUGUCAUUGAAACCUUAAGCGUGUGGACCCUACGGGUUCGAGAACUAUGUAGACAUGACCGAGACACGUUUCCGGUCAAUAACCAAUAGCGAAACCUGGAUGCUCAUAUUGGCUCCUACAUAUUCUACGAAGAUCUUUUAUCGGUCAAACCGCAUAACAAUAUACGUUGUUCCCUUUGUCAUCGGUAUGUUACUUGCCCGAGAUUUGAUCGUCGGUAUCCAAUACCUAUUUCAAUCUCGUUACUGGCAAGUCUCUUUACUCGUUCCGUAAUGCAUCAUUUCGUAACUAACUCAUUAGUUACAUUGCUUGCAAGGCUUAUAGUGAUGUGCAUUACCGAGAUGGCCCAGAGAUACCACUCCGACAAUCGAAGUGACAAAACCUAAUCUCGAAAUAUGCCAACUCAACAUGUAUCUUUGGAGACACCUGUAGAUCUCCUUUAUAAUCACCCAGUUAUGUUGUGAUGUUUGGUAGCACACAAAGUGUUCCUCUGGUAAACGGGAGUUGCAUAAUCUCAUAGUUGUAGGCACAUGUAUAAGUCAUGAAGAAAGUAUACGCCAACUCAACAUGUACCUUUGGAGACACCUGUAGAGCUCCUUUAUAAUCACCCAGUUACGUUGUGACGUUUGGUAGCACACAAAGUGUUCCUCCGGUAAACGGGAGUUGCAUAAUCUCAUAGUUGUAGGAACAUGUAUAAGUCAUGAAGAAAGCAGUAGCAACAUACUAAACGAUCAAGUGCUAAGCUAACGGAAUGGGUCAUGUCAAUCACAUCAUUCUCCUAAUGAUGUGAUCCCGUUAAUCAAAUGACAACUCAUGUCUAUCGUUAGGAAACAUAACCAUCUUUGAUUAAUGAGCUAGUCAAGUAGAGGCAUACUAGUGACAUUAAAUUUUGUCUAUGUAUUCACACAUGUAUCAUGUUUCCGGCUAAUACAAUUCUAGCAUGAAUAAUAAACAUUCAUCAUGAUAUAAGGAAAUAAAUAAUACCUUUAUUAUUGCCUCUAGGGCAUAUUUCCUUCAAUGUUAGCUAGCAUUACACAUCAAAAUUUUUGUUUUUAUCAUUUACCUAUUCGAGGAUGAGCAGGAAUUAAGCUUGAGGAUGUUGACAUGUCCAACAUAUCUAUAAUUUUUUAUUGUUUCAUGCUAUCAUAUGAUCAAUCUUGGAUGCUUUAUAUGUAUUUUAUACUAUUUUAUAUCUUUUUGGACUAACCUAUUAUUUUGAAAAAAAAUUGAAUUGUUUGGAUUGCUUACCACAUGUGUCACGUGGUUUGGGACUAACUUUUUAACCCAAUGCCUAGUGCUAGUUAAUGUUUUUUUUGCUUGUUUUUGGCUCUUCAGAAAAACAAUACCAAAUGAACUUCAAACAUGAUGAAACUUUACGGUAAUUUUUUCUGGACUAGAAGAGGCCCUAGAAGGUUCGGGAGGAGGCUAGAAGAUCUACGGAAGAGCCACGAGCUCACAGGGCACGCCCCCGAGCUCAUGGGCCCCACGCAGCUCCGUUUGACCUAAUUUCAACUCCAUAACUUCACAUAUAUUUCCAAACCAAUAGAGAGCCACCCGAAACACUUUUUUUCCACCGCAAGCUUCUGUUCUUCCGUGAUCCCAUCUGGAGGCCUUUUCCGGUACUCUGCCGGAGGAGGAAUCGAUCAUGGAGGGCUUCUAUAUCAUCCUUGCUGCCUUUCGAUGAUGCAUGCAUAGUUCAUGACAGACCUACGGGUCCAUAUCUAGUAGGUAGAUGGCUUCAUCUCUCUCUUUGAUCUUCAAUACAAUGUUCUCCUCGAUUUUCUUAGAGCUUUUUUAUCCUAUGUAAUCUUUUUUUGCGGUGCGUUUAUUGGGAUGCAGUGAAUUAUGGGUUUAUGAUCAAAUUAUUAACUGAAAGUAAUUGUGUCUUUUCUGAGCUUUAUUAUGCAUGAUUGUUAUAGCUUCGUAUUAUCCUCCGAUCAAUUCGUUUGGUUUCGCCAACUAGAUUGAUUUAUCUUCAGUGGGAGAGGUGCUUUGUAAUGGGUUCAAUCUUGCGGUGUCCUCAUAUAGUGACAGAAGGGGAAGCAAGGCACAUAUAGUAUCGUUGCCAUUAAGGAUAAAACGACGUGGUUUAAUCAUAUUUCUUGAGUUUACUUUGUCUAGAUCAUGUCAUCUUGCUUAAGGUGUUACUCUGUUUGCCAUGAACUUAAUACGAUAGAUGCAUGCUAAAUAGCGGUCGAUUGGUGGAGUAAUACUAGUAGAUGUAGGCAGGAGUCGAUCUACUUGUCACAGACAUGACUAUAUACAUGAUCAUUGCCAUGAAUAUGUCAUAACUAUGUGUUUUUCUAUCGGUUGUCUAACAGUAAUUUGUUUACCCACAAUAUGCUACGUGUUCGAGAGAGAAGCCUCUAAUGAAAACUAUGGCGCUAGGUCUACUUUUAUCAUAUUAUUAAAACUAAAAAUACCUUCAUGCAAUUUUAUACUUUUUUUACUUUUCUUUUUAUCUAUCUAUCACUAUCAGAAUUAAUCCUUGCAAAUAAUGAGUUCAAGGGGAAUGACAAGACUCUUGCCGCGUUGGGUGCAAGUAUUUGCUUUUGUGUGUGUAGGUGCUGAAAAAGGGAAUUUGCGUGGUUCUCCUAUUGGUUUGAUAACCUUGGUUCUCACUGACGGGAAUACUUAUCUCUAUUGUAUUGCUCCACCCAUCCUCUUGGGGGAAAUCCCAACGCAGUUUAGAAGUAGCACUACUCCUCCUUCCUCCUCCAUAGACGCUUGGCGAAGCCCUGCCACAGCUCCACCAUAAAAUCCACCACCACGCCAUCGUGUUGGCCUAGAUCUCAUCUACCUAUCCCUGUCGCUUGCUGGAUGAAGGAGACAUCACCGAGCCAUACGUGUGCAUAUCCCUGAGGUGUCAUUCGUGCGGUGCUGGAUCGGAUUGGAUCACGAAGAGUGUACGACUACGCCAAGCACAUUCAUUAGAACGUUUCUGUUUUAGGUCUAGAAGGGUUUGUAGACUUUUCCCCCUCGUUGCUAGCAUCUAGUUGAUUAGAUCUCGGAUGUUUUCAUUGUCUCGUAGGAAAAAAAUUGUUUUUCAUGCAUUGAUUCUCAUCACCGACCUGCUUCAAAAGAAGCAGGUAGGAGCCCAGGCGGCCCGAGCUCAGCAGGUUGCCGGGUGGGAGGUCCCUAACAGGUGCAUCCAAGAAUGCAACAACCUCCAAGUAGAGAAGGCGUCCCUAACCGAGAGGACGAGACAACAAGAGCUGGAGCUGGAAGAAGUUAAGUCUCGCCUGGUCGAUGCCGGGAGCGUCGCGGCGGGCCCUUGAGAUCAUAGCCAGUGAGUCUGUCCAUGCUUCAACUCAUAAACUAGGUGGAAAUUUUAUUUGCCGAUCUGACAUACAAAUUCAUUAUUUCCAGCAUCUUUUCCCGACCUGCCAGCCAAUGCUGUUGGAGCGUCCCUUAGGGAGAAACUGCAGCAGUUUGGAGAGUUAAACAAGAUUGCGAGGCCGGUAAUGGAGGGUAUUUUCUUGGCCCUAUGGCCUGGAAGAAAGGUUGUCGGAAAACCAGUUUGACCUCUGCCGCCGCCUCCAGGAGGGGCAUGCUCGGAUUGCCCUGUGAAAGGCGUUAGUGGCCUGAGAAGAUGCUCGUCAAGCGUGGGCCAUGCUCCAGACCCACUAUCCGGGCUUGAACAUCUGCCCUAUUGCCGUAGUUGGUCCAAAAGGACCUGACGGUAAGGAGAUUAUGCCCUAUGCUAGGAUGUCCGAGCAGGAUUGUCGUUUGAAAAGAUUAUUGAAUAGGCUAGGAGUGUUACCCUGGAUUGUCAAGGACGAAACGUUGAAUAAAAACUUCUCGAAUUUCGCUACCACCAUGUUUAUUUUUUUCUAUACCAACAACAUGAUAGGUUUGCUCCGACCUGUUAGCAUACGCUUGCAUUAACCGGCCUUUGGCUUCAACCUCAACAACCAAAUGUGGAGGCCUUAUAAUUGAUGUUAACGCAAUGAGUAGGGAUCACCAUGCAACUAGGAUGCAAACAUAUCUAUGAAUAUAUGAAAUAUCUCGCAAGGAUUAAGUGGGGGUGUGUCCAACUUGUUUGCUCAUGAAGACCUCAAGCAUUUGAUAAAGCUCAUCAUCGGGAUAUACAAGGAAAAUUAUACAAUAUAAAUUCCCCAAGCUAGUAUAAAACAUGAAGCUCAUGAAACUUUAAUUAGAUGUAAAUUGUCCAGACCAACAAAAGUUCUUUAGUAAGGGUCUCUGACGAGAAUUUAUUUCAUCGAAAGUGUCCUACUCAGCUUGAGCUCAUAUGAAUUUUUUUAUUGCCGUGAAAAAGAUGAAUGCCAUUCUAUGAUGAAACCUUGCAAGGAUUUAUAACAUUUGUCAAAUUAAGCCACACACAAAAAAUCAGAAAUUUUUGAAUUCUCUCUAAAUAUUUUCAGAUUUUAUUGCUCACCCGAGCUCAUAUGAGCUCGAGCUCAGUUAAUCCGUGUCCAUGUUUCAUCCUACUCUACUAGCAAAAACCAAUGGAGCAGACGGUAGUGACGUGGAAAAGAAACCAUAACAAAUUUUUAGUGAUAUAUAAUUAAAGAAACAGAAAUUUACAAUUGCAAAUUAGGGAAUCUUAAUGUCAAAUACUGAAUUCUUCCACCCACUAGCUGUGAGACAUAUCCAUUGCAGUGCCAAAUAAAGAAGCUUUUCCAUGAAUUAAUAACAACAAGACAAUGGUCCGCGUGUUGUAUAUAAUAAAUAGAGUCCUGCUUCGGUACAACCCCCCUCGCAAUAUGUAUAAAGGGUAAUAUGGACUUUUCACAAUCUGUAUCUACUUCUGUACGUAACAUAUACGCCAGGCAGCUUACUUGGGCCGGCCCAUUUGCGGUGGCAUGCGAUGAAAAAUAGCGAAAAAGGAUCACACAAACUGGGAAUCGAAACCGACGACCACUUCAAAAUUUAACUGCGUCCACAACCACUGCGAUAGCAUGCCUUUGUUGAAUGAUCUAAAGUUGGAAACAAUAAAUAAUUGACAGGCUGGGAAUUUUAAAAAGAUUUCAGUAACACUUUCUGAACUGGCGUUUUUUCCAUAAUUUCUUUCUAUUUAUUUUCCUUUUCCUGCUAUUCUUCUUUCUUUUUCAAAAAUGUUCGCGCUUUCAAAAUGUUGUUCCAAAUUUCAAACGGUUCAUUAUUUCCAAGUUUUGUUCAUAAACUAAAAAUAUUUGCAUUUUUGAAAAUUGUAUUGUAAUUUGAAAAAAUGUUUGUGACUUUGAAAAAAUGUUCAGAAUGUAAAAUGUGAAUAAUGUUUUGAAAACCACAAAUAAAAUUGUGAAAAUGAACAUUUUCUGAGAGCACGGACAAAAAAUUAAAUUCCAAAGCAUUUUUCAGAAAUGAGACUAAAUAAAUGAUCUCAUAAAAUUAUUCUAAAUUUACACGAUUAUUUUUUAAAAUUUGUCAGAAUAUUUUUGAAAAUGAGAACAUUUUCUAAAUUCCGAACAAAUUCCAGUAGUCGCCCGACAAGAGCGAUGCCGUUGCUUAGUUGGGCAAGGCCUAAAGUUUUUUCUUUUCUAUUUUUUCGUUUUAUUCUCUUUUUUGUUAAUUUAUCUUUUCACCUUUUUGAACUUUAUGGUUCUUUUUUUUAACCUGCUCAAAAAAUUGAAAUACCAAAAUAAUAGUUUUAAGGAACUAUUUUAAAUUAUGAUUUUAAUUCUUUUUUUGUUUCAAUAUUUCUUAAAUGCUUUUUAAAAAGCAUCUGUUGUUUUCAAUUCUAUUAUUUAGUAUUUAUUGAUUAUUUUAGAAAUUUAAAAUGACAGUUUGAAGUAUCUAUAUAAAUUAUGAUUUUAAAUGACCCCAACAUUUGCCAGCUGGUGGCAUGGCCAUGGUAGGCAUCCAUGCCCCAAUAUUCUUUCAUGGCCUCGUAUGACCAAUUCAAUGCACCAUGACAAGUUGUUUUGGUUUUCGACAAAUUUUGUAUUUUUCUAGAGUUUUCUCGAUAAGAAAAUGCAAAAAAAGGCCGGACGUGUUGCAACUUUCAUACUGUGUCAGAAAUUGUUCAAACCUGGCAUGGAUGCCUAUGAGGGGCAUGCCCAUCUGGUGGCAAAAGUUGGGGCCAUUUUAAGGAUGUACUCCCUCCGUCCGAAAAUACUUGUCAUCAAAAUGGAUAAUAAGGGAUGUACGUAGAACUAAAAUACAUGUAGAUACAUCUCCUUUUAUCCAUUUUGAUGACAAGUAUUUUCGGACGGAGGAAGUAUAAAUAGACCAUGUUGAACAAACUGUGUUCUCGGGCAGAAGGAUUCGUCUGAGAGCAUGUUAGUUCUCGACAUCCUUGAAAUUAAUCCAAUUUUUUUCAAGGGCCUCGUAUGACCAAUUCAAGGCAUCAUGGAAAGUUGUUUGGGUUUUCAACAAGUUUUGCAUUUCCUGGAGUUUCUUGGUGAAAAAGUAACAAUUAAUGAUAGAACAUGUCGCAACGUGCAUACGGUGUCGGAAGUCAUUCAGACCAAGUAUGGAUGCCUAACAUGGGCAUGCCCACUUGCUUGCAAAAGUUGGGGGUAGUCCUGAUAUUUCCAAAGAAAUACCAUGUUGGAUGGAGAGUGUUCGAAUAGGCUAGAAGGAUCUGUUUGCGAGCUCCAUUUCUCAUGGCCUUGUAUAACCAAUUCAAGGCACCACACCAAAUUGUUUUGGUUUUGUCCAAUUUUGCGUUUUCUGAAGUUUUUGUGGUUAAGAAGGCCGAUAAAUGACCGGAUGUGUCAACACUUGAAUAUGGUGUAGAAAAACGUCCAAACUAGGCAUGUGCCUACCAUGGGCAUGCCUACCUUCUUGCAAAAGUGGGGUUCAUUUUAAAGAUGUUCAAAAAUAGACUAUGUUCAACGGAGAGUGUUCGAAUAGUGCAGAAGGGUCCGUUUGAAAGCUCGUUGUUUACUGACAUCUGUCAAAUAACCCCAAAUAUUUUUCAUGAGCUUCUAUGACCAAUUCAAGGCACAAUGCCAAUUUGUUUAGAUUUUUGAAAAGUUUUGUAUUUUCUAGAGUUUUCUCAUUGAAAGUAGGCCGAUAAAUGGUCGGACGUGUCACAACAUGUAAAGGGUGUCGGAAGUCAUUCAAACCUGGCGUGGAUGCCUCAUAUGUCCAAGCCAGGCUCUUGCAAGAAGGUGGGAUCAUUUAUCAAUAGCCUAAAAUAUACCAGUUAGAUGAGUUUAUUUCUAAUUCCCUUCAUUAUCACUCAACAUAAACAUUUUAUUUUUUCCUAACAAUUUCUUGAAAUUUCUCAACAAUUUUGGAACUUCAAAGUGUGUAUGAAAAAUUUACUAACUUGAACACUUUUUUCCAAAAUUGUUAACAAAUUACGAAAGAAUGAUGAAAAUUUCGAACAAAAAAGCAAACCGCGUACUUCUUAAAAAAAUUGUCAACUUUUUUGAAACACAUACAUUUCUUAAAUUUGUGAACAACAAAAUUCGAAAACUAGAACAUUUUAUGAAAUUCCAGAAUAUUUUUUAUAAUUUAAACAAUAUUUGAAAACAAAAUCAUUUUAUGUUAUGCCAAACAUUUUUUCCAAAAUUUGAACAAGUUUCACAAAGAUUAAUAAAGUUCAAAAGUAGAAAAAUGAAUUAACAAAAAGAGAAAAAAAAAGAAACUAACUGCAAUGAAAAAAAUGCUUAGGCCCUAGAAAAUAAGAAUGUUUCCGGAAAAUUUAAGUAUAUUUGGAAAAAUAUUCGUAAAUUUUAAAAAUUGUUUGUGUUUUUGAAUAAUGCUCGCCAAUUUGAAAAAGUUUUGCAUUUUAAAAAAAUGUUCAGAUAUUUCAAAAUUGUUUAUGUUUUCAAGAAAAUGGUCACAAAUGUGAUAAAUUAUUCAUCUUUUCAAAAAAAUCUGCAGUUUCAGAUAUAUGUUUACAAUACUGAAAAACUGUUCUUAAACUUUCAAAAAUAUUCACAAAAUCAAAGUAUUUUUCAUAAAAAAGGGUUCGGGAAUUUGAAAAAAAUGCGUUUCCAAAAGAAGUCCAAAUUUUGAAAAAUGUUUCGUAUUUUUAAAAAUAUUCCAAUAGAUGAAAAAACACAUUAGGUUUUUUAGCUAUAAAAAAUGCUUUAGCUAGAAUGUCCUGCCCAGUUGUGUUUUCCAAAAGAAGUCCGUGCACCAAUUUUGAUCUGCUAGAGUAUUUCUAGUAAAAAAAAAGCUCCUACAGUACGUCUGUUCUAGGUAAUAAACAACUACACUUCAAAAAUAUCAGCAAAUCCAGAUGGUUCUGGUGGCUAUUAGCAGUUUCCCAACCGCUGGAGGUCCUGUGUUCGAUGCCCAAUAGGCACACUAUGUUUUGGAUUUUUGAUCGGUGCUACCGCACAUACUCUCUCUAAUGGGCCGGCCCAAAAUAGACUCAGAACAUGACAGAUCUUCGCGACGUAUUUUCUUGAAAGACCAUCCUACUCUUUAUUAUGAAAAGGUAUAGACAGAUCUCGUCCAUUGAUGUAUUCGGGGGUUGUGCCGAAGAAGAAGAUAUAGACCUAUGAGGAAUUACGUAUGCAUGCUCAAGAACCUAUGUUCGUACAUACAUACACAAAAUCAUAUAGAACAAAAGGUAUGCUCCGGUCAGAAAGCAGAGUCGUACAGCAGAGUUUUGGACAAAAGUGAAGUUCACAAAAGACCUUCAUACGAGAUAGGCCAUUGUUUCAACUCGUAGUUUAGGCCUUGCCGGACUCCUCGCAACCCGGUGGCCUAAAGGCGAUGAAGCUGACGCACUGCACCUGGCGCAGGUUGUCGAAGCCGAUGACACGGACAUAGGCGUCAGGGUACUCCUUCUUGACCUCCUCCACCUCGUUCAGCACCUGUGUGGCGUCAGUGCACCCGAACAUAGGCAGCUUCCACAUUGUCCAGUAUCGGCCGUCGUAGUACCCGGGGGAGCUGUUGUGCUCACGGAAGACGAAGCCAACCUUGCUGAACUCGAGGCAGGGCACCCACUUUGAGCGGAUCAGGUAGUCGACCUGUUUCAGGAGGGCCUCCGUGGAUAGGGGUGGCAGGUAAGACAGGGUCUCGAACUUCUUGAUGCCCUCAAUUGGCCACACCUAAAUGAAUAGAAUGCGCACAGAUGCUCAAUACUUGGUGAUAAGUCAAUUAAUUGUACUAAACUACGCUAGAAAAAAUCAGUCGACAAGCCAAAAAUUGCUCCUUAUGGGCAGCUCUCAUAUGCAUUGCUGGGUUGUUCACAAUCAAUAAAGCUUUGGUUGUACUUAGUGCUAGUAUAUGGGUCCUAUUUCGAGGAUGGGUUUGGUUAUAUACAUUGGGGAUGUUCUGCAAGUGAAUUACUUGCACUGACAAAGAAACUCAUAUCUGUUUAAUUAGUGCCCGACAUACCUGCAUGCACCUGAUCCUUCCGCCAUUGCUGACGCUGCUGAG
rnacentral:lncRNA from 1 species